rnacentral:rRNA from 1 species
CGCGUAGGCGGGGAUGUAAGUCGGGCGUGAAAUCCCCAGGCUCAACCUGGGAACUGCACUCGAAACUGCGUUUCUUGAGUAUCGGAGAGGAAAGCGGAAUUCCUGGUGUAGAGGUGAAAUUCGUAGAUAUCAGGAGGAACACCAGUGGCGAAGGCGGCUUUCUGGACGGUAACUGACGCUGAGGCGCGAAAGCGUGGGGAGGCAAAACA